rnacentral:lncRNA from 1 species
AAAGGGGAUGGAUUUCAGAAACGUUUCUAAAUCAUAAAUGACUGAACCAGAAGAACUGAAGCUGAUGUCAGAUUUCUCGCUUGGGUGAUGAGGAACAAGGCAGGAAGAGCAGCAAUGAGGAUAGAGGUGGAAGGGCAGCUCAGGAAUUUCCCUGGAGUUUUCCCAUCUUGAGACUUCGGUCUUGGAAGACAGAAUGGCUGUGACAUAAUGUGGACUUUUUACUUCCACCUCUAGGAAAGCGUUCUUUGGAACACCUUUGCUGAGUCUCUCUCUCCUCCGCUCAAGGAGGAAGAAGGCAUUUUCACACAAGGCUGGCCAGAUGGGAAGAAUCUUCAGCUUCAGCUUCAGCUUGGCCUCAUUCAUUUGAAAAUAAAAUGUUUACAUGAGGCCGCGCCUGUGUCCAGCUGAAAGUGGGUCCUUCAGAGCGUGUGGGGGAUUCUCUGCCGGCUUGAUGGGCUAGCUCCUCUAAGCCGGCUGCUGGAGACAUCACCGGCUGAGGGACUCCUGCAAACGUUCAUACAUGAUUUGAUCCUGAAAGGAGGGAGAACACAGAAUACAGAGACCGUCACUGCUUGUUUUGGGCUGAAUGGUGCCCCCCAAAAUUCACAUGCUGCAGUCCGCACCCGCAGGACCUCAGAAUGUGAUUGUAACUGGAGAGAGGGUCUUUAUAGAGGAGACUGGAUUAAAAUGAGGUCAUACAGGUAGACUCUUAUCCAAUAUGACUGCUCUCCUUACAAAAAGAGGGGAUUAGGGCACAGGAGGGAAGAGCAUGUGCGCAGAGGGAAAAGCACAUGCAGGCGCUGGGAGAAGACAGCCAUCAGUGAGGACAAAGGCUCCAGAAGAACCAAUCCUGCCCAACACUCUCCAGAACUGACCUCUUACAAUGCGAGCGUUUGAAGACCAUUCCUGUGCUAACUUCACAAGCCAAAGAGGUUAAAAUUCAAAGGCUACCUCCACUCUACUGAAUGAUCUGCGCUGAAGACGACCAGACAACUUGG